rnacentral:rRNA from 1 species
UUGGCUCUCGCAUCGAUGAAGAACGCAGCCGAAAUGCGAUAAGUAAUGUGAAUUGCAGAAUUCAGUGAAUCAUCGAAUCUUUGAACGCACCUUGCGCUCCUUGGUAUUCCGAGGAGCAUGCCUGUUUGAGUGUCAUUAAAUUCUCAACCUCACCCGUUUUCUAAACGGUUCUCCGAGGCUUGGAUGUGGGGGUCUGUGCAGGCUGCCUCAGCGCGGUCUGCUCCCCUG